UCAGCGGGAGCCGCAGGUUGAUCGCGGCGGCCGCAGAUGAGCCGAGCCCGCGCGCGGGCGGGGGGGCGGCCGGGGCAGCGCCGUGUCGGCGGCCGGCACACUAUGCGAGGCCGGGAGGAUGGCGGUGGAAGCUAUCCAUUGCAAUCUGAAUCCAAAUGGUAUUGAUCAUCCUGUCCCCACUGAAGGUAUUAAUCUGCAACUUGAAGGUGAGGGAGCUGAAUCCCCCGCUGCCAAGAACAGCAGUGCUCCAAGAGGACCUGAAUCAAAAGAGACACCCAAGAGGCAACAAGUGGAGCCAGAAAUAUCUAAGUCUGGGACUGUGAAGCUGACCAAACCUGUGGCAUUAUGGACCCAGCAGGAUGUCUGCAAAUGGCUGAAGAAACAUUGCCCUAAUCAGUAUCAGAUCUACAGUGAGUCAUUCAAACAGCAUGACAUAACUGGCCGCGCUUUGCUGAGACUUACUGACAAAAAGCUUGAACGAAUGGGCAUUGCCCAGGAAAGCCUGCGACAGCACAUUCUGCAGCAAGUCCUUCAGCUGAAGGUGAGAGAAGAAGUCCGAAACCUCCAACUGCUCACACAAGGGGAGUUGGAUGACCUUUAAACAUCCCUUCCAAAUCUGAGGAUUCUGAGGUUCUACAAUCUCUGAAGGUGGAGAUUGCACAACCUCCCCAGCAGAGAGCUCUCCAUAAACAUUUCCAGCCUGUAAAGCUGCUGUCCUGCCACUUGAUAUGAAAACGAACUUUCCUUCAUGAAAAAACCAUAAUCAAUGGCACUGCCAGAAGGUGACCUUGGAGGAGCGAAGACAAACUUGAAGUAAAAUCAGCCCACUCAAGAUGAUGCAUUCUGAGAAGACCUGGUUUGCUGUGGAGUAAAAACGUGGUGCAUAAUAUCCAGUGCUAAUUUGUUCAAAAUGGUCAUUGACAGACCUUUAGCUGGAAAAUUUCUUCCAGUUUUCAUCACUGUGCAUAACUUUGGGUUCCCUUUAGGGGACUGCCUAUGCCCUUCACUCGAAGUCCUGUUUUAGCAUGGCAACUACUGGAUUCUUCUAUUAUGUAUGCAGAUGGCAUGAUGUUUUAGGAAAAACUUACAGGAAUUCUCCAAUCUCCGUGGAUAUGUUCACAUUACUACACCCCUGAUAGAAAUGUAGAAGUCUUGUAUGUGUUAGUUUUGCAGUCUAAUAGUGUUCCGUUAAACAAUAUCAGCACUUCAUGCGUGCUUUCUGCACAGAAUUGGCACAGCCCAUAUAUAUAUCAGUCUUUUUAAAUACCGAGGAUACGUUUCAGUAGUUGUGCUGAGACUGCAUCCAAACUGAAGUCCACUACUAGCAUACCUUCACCGAGUCACAGUACACUGUGUAGAUAGAUUUGCACGUGGCAGAGGUGUGACUUACUUCAUGGAGACUUGCAGAACAGCUGUCACAGAGGUAGCCAAGAACAGGGUUGGCUGAAUGAGAUGUAGGACACUGUGUCUGCUCUCCCUCCCAUCCAGCAGAUAGCAAAGGCUGUCAUUCCUGGCACGCCAGUGUGUUUUCUUACUCAGUGAGGGAAAGGAAAGGGAGAGCACCCUUCUCAGAGGGCAGUUGGACCUAGAGUUUGGUCUACACUAGAAACAGAACAAACUGGAAGAGUUCAGAUUCUUUAUGCUGGCCACUGUUUAUGUUUUGGGCAGGACUUGGGAAUCACAGUCCAAACCAAAUGCUCUGAAAAAGGUAAUGCGUAAGACUGUACUUCUAAGGAGCAAGGACACUCCCUCCAAUGGGGGCAGACUUCUUUGUUAACUUUUUCCACUUUCUAUCCAAAAGCAUAUUUUGGAAGGAAAUAGGAAUAAGCAAACGGUUCUAAUAAGCCUUUCGAUAUACUGUAGCAGGCUCAAGACUGUUGCAUUCAAUCUGAGCAUUGAUUUUUGUUCAGUCUCUGAAUGGCUGGCUUCAUCGCUGGCUGUAUCACAGCUGGCUGUGGUACUGUUGUUUUUUUCCACGGGGAUUUAGUGGAAUUAAUGUCUGUCCCUAACAUCAGGACCUUCUUGACACACUCUUUGUAAUGAACUGAUGCCAUCAACAUGCUAAGGGGUCUUACCUAUUUGUUCCUUAUUUCUUUAAAAUCAAAGGUAGCUUUUGUAUAUUUAAAAACUGUCAUUCUCUCCAACCUAAUAGGCAGGUACCAUACAGUUGCUAUUAGGGUAUAUGCCAGACUGUGGGUGAGGUGCCAUACAGGUGUGAAGAUGCAGCAGUGGAGAGAAGGCACAAUUACAUCAAGGUAAAAGCACCUUUUUAGAGCAAAUUCCUGUGUUAUGAUACUUAAAAACUCUUGUACAGUUCAUUGCUGGAGAAUUCAAGGUCAGCCUCUGAGGGUGCCUGUAGAAUCAACAGAUAAACUUUCAGAUGAGUGCAGGAUUAGGUUACAGCUCUCCACCCAUCUCAGAUUCAGCAUGCUGAAUACUUCUUAACUAUUCAAGAAGGAAACUGAUGGCCAAGAUUUUCAGAAGUUGCUAGUGAUUUCUACUGGUUUGGGUCUUUCCAUGGAUUUUCAAGUGCAUCUCCCAAAAAGUAUAAAGCAGUAAGCUUUAUGUCCUCUUUCUGAAAAUCCUGGCCCUAAUUUUAAAUUUAUUGGUGUACAAGUUCUCCUUAUGAUGUAAGAAUCUUUGCCAACAGCAGCAUUUGCACUUUUUAGAGCUUUUCAUAGUAUUGCAGGUUGGAAUCUGAUCCUUAUUGAGAGAAGUGGCUGAGCACCUCGCAGAAUUCCAUUAUAAGCUCCAGUAAAUUUUACAGCUAUUUCUGCUACAGAUUUUAAAAUGCACUCUGGCAACUGACACCAAUUUUGUGUUGGUAUAGCAAUUAAAAAAAAAAAAAAAAAAAACAACUUGAAUAUAAAUUAUUUUCAAAAGGAGAAUGCUAUAGUCCU